rnacentral:rRNA from 1 species
GAUGAACGCUGGCGGCGUGCCUAAUACAUGCAAGUCGAGCGAACAGACGAGAAGCUUGCUUCUCUGAUGUUAGCGGCGGACGGGUGAGUAACACGUGGAUAACCUACCUAUAAGACCGGGAUAACUUCGGGAAACCGUAGCUAAUACCGGAUAAUAUUUUGAACCGCAUGGUUCAAAAGUGAAAGACGGUCUUGCUGUCACUUAUAGAUGGAUCCGCGCUGCAUUAGCUAGUUGGUAAGGUAACGGCUUACCAAGGCAACGAUGCAUAGCCGACCUGAGAGGGUGAUCGGCCACACUGGAACUGAGACACGGUCCAGACUCCUACGGGAGGCAGCAGUAGGGAAUCUUCCGCAAUGGGCGAAAGCCUGACGGAGCAACGCCGCGUGAGUGAUGAAGGUCUUCGGAUCGUAAAACUCUGUUAUUAGGGAAGAACAUAUGUGUAAGUAACUGUGCACAUCUUGACGGUACCUAAUCAGAAAGCCACGGCUAACUACGUG